UCACUCUUGAAAAUAAAUUUCCGCAUCGUAUAAUGAUUUCCGUCUAUACCUAUAAGAAGAAUCCUGCAAAAGUUAAUAAUAUAUUGCUCCGCCGCAUAAUAAGAACAUACCGCUUUAGAUUUUAGUGGACGAGGACUACGGACUAACGGGUUGCGGUUAGGACGUUACGGCUGCGAGUGGCCCGUUGUGGAUGACGGGGGGAGGGGGACGAUCUGUCGCGCAUACGUAGAGAGCACAAUGCGGCAUCGUUCUGCGUCGACGUGGUCCCGCGCGAGCGUACUGCGCACCACAACCGUCAUAAAUAUACAAAACAUGGUGGCUACUCCUGGCAGACCGCCGUCGUCCGAGCCCGAGUCGUCCCGUUUCCAGCUAGCAUCUUCAGUCACCAGCUCGUCGUCUUCCUUUCGAAUUAUUCUUAAGAAUACUGCUUUUUGCGAAUGUGCUCUUCGACCUUGAUGUUAUGUACGCUAGCGCCUUUUAAAAAUUAAACUC